rnacentral:rRNA from 1 species
CUAGAACGUUGAUAGGCAGGGUGUGUAAGUGCUGUGAGGCAUUGAGCUAACCUGUACUAAUUGCCCGUGAGGCUUAACCAUACAACACCCAAAGGGUUUUG